rnacentral:tmRNA from 1 species
GGGGGCGUAACGGAUUCGACGGGAUUGAAUUGGCGUGCGAAGGCGUGUCGGGUUCCGAGCACCCGUUAAACGAUCGGAAAACCAUAACUGCCAAUCAGCAGUUUGCUUACGCUGCCUAAGUAAUUAGGUAGCCGCUCCAGCCGGCAGGCUCGCAUGUCCGGCGAGUGGGCGUCAUAUGGCGAGAUAGGCCCAAGGCUUCUGUUCGGAGUUGUAAGCCGAGAUCCAAUCGAACUGGAUUGCCGCCAUCUUGCCGGUUCUCAGGCGGCAAUUGAAAUCCAGAAUCGGAUACACACGUAGGCUUUUCACGGCAAUCUUUCUCGGACGCGGGUUCGACUCCCGCCGCCUCCACCA